CACUGCAGGUGCUCCCAGGCUAAAUUUUCCCGUGGUAUCCACUUGUGUUCCAUGAACCCAGUUGUCUCUACGUCAGCUCUCGCAGUUAUUAAGAGGUAGCCCAAACACAUGCCCAUGUCCACAUGUCCAAAGUAAACCCAUGAAGAGAAGAGCGACUGGAAGCUUGUAUCAUGGAUAGACUGAGACUCACAGGUGGUCAUGCACUAACCUAAUCCAGGAAGAGCAUCUGCUUCUCUUUCACUCUGAAGGCCGAUGUCUAUCUUCUGCUGGACUCCAGCACCUAUAUGUGGCUUAUAUCAGAGGGACAUUAAAGCUACAAGUCCAUCACACCAAAACCAGAAAUGUUGUCAGUUGAAAGGUUUCUUACCAAAGGAGCCAUAUUACUAUUGCCAAGCCGACUCUUCUGUCGUGGUGAGCAAGGAGCAUCCAUCUGCAAGAAAAAGACUGAAAUGUCCCCAGUCUUCAUACACAUGUUGGUUUUACUUUAUUUGUGAGGACAUCUCAUAGAUGCAACUGUUUGUUUACAGAGGUCAUAAUUUGUGCUACACUCCAACCCAAAAUCUGAACCUUCACAAAUCUGCUGACGUCAUGAAAACAUUAUAUCAACCUUUUAAUUAAUGAAGGCCACUUCAAAUGUCCACUAAGUCAAUUUUCAACAUAAUUCACUACAUAUCGUUAAGGGCAUCUAAAAAAAAUGUUUAGGUGAACCUUUUGUUUAUGGACCAAUAAAUAAAUAAAUAUAUUAGUAGUGGGCUGUUAUCAGGGUUAAUGUGCUGCGUUAACAGGAGACUCUUAUCGUGCGAAAACAAAAAAAUUGCAGUUAAUCUAUUCUCAAAAUUGGGUUGGGAGCUGGGUCUAUACUAGGUGAGCUAUGAUGACUUUCACCUUAAAAUUUUAGCGUGGAUGUAUGCCUAACCGAAUUGUACUGUAGGGGGCGAGAACAAGUCUUUAAACCUGUGUGUAUGCCUACUGUGAAAUAAAUUACCACAUCAAACGUGAUGUCCUAA